rnacentral:rRNA from 1 species
GACGAACGCUGGCGGCGUGCUUAACACAUGCAAGUCGAACGGAAAGGCCCUGCUUUUGUGGGGUGCUCGAGUGGCGAACGGGUGAGUACACGUGAGUAACCUGCCCUUGACUUUGGGAUAACUUCAGGAAACUGGGGCUAAUACCGGAUAGGAGCUCCUGCUGCAUGGUGGGGGUUGGAAAGUUUCGGCGGUUGGGGAUGGACUCGCGGCUUAUCAGCUUGUUGGUGGGGUAGUGGCUUACCAAGGCUUUGACGGGUAGCCGGCCUGAGAGGGUGACCGGCCACAUUGGGACUGAGAUACGGCCCAGACUCCUACGGGAGGCAGCAGUGGGGAAUAUUGCACAAUGGGCGGAAGCCUGAUGCAGCAACGCCGCGUGCGGGAUGACGGCCUUCGGGUUGUAAACCGCUUUCGCCUGUGACGAAGCGUGAGUGACGGUAAUGGGUAAAGAAGCACCGGCUAACUACGUG